UGAGAAAUUUAGUCAGGACAUAAUUCUUUUCUUAUGACAAGACUGACAGUCCCCAUGUCAGAAAUUUUAAAUAAAACAUAUGUGUGUUAUAAAGUCGUAAAAAAAAUCUAAAAACGCUAAAACCUCGAUAGGAAAACUUGUAUUGCACUAAUAUCGGAAUAACAUCACGAUCUGCACCACAGAAACUUAGUCAAACGACUAGUAAAGGAGGUACAGCAAAAACACAUAAUUUCCUACUUCAACAAAGUUGAUAAAAAAAGCUCGGAGGUCGUGAUAAAAAAAAAAUAGGAAAAUUUCAAGCAAUAGCUGUCCAAAUUUUCCAAAUAAACAAAAUUUAUUAUGUUUAAAUCUAGGGUCUAUAUUGUUAAAUACGUACACGAUAAUUGCUUUAAAUCGAGUAUUACUUUGCCCCUCGCUUAUAAAAGCACAGACCUAUUCUAUUUAUAUUAUUAUUGCAGUUGAAGAAAAAAUACCGGCCAAUGAAUAUAUACAUAUGUAUAUGCUAGCUUAUAAAAUUUUUUUACUCAUUUUUUUUUUGCAAAUGCAACUUUCCGUUCGCUAUAAAAGCAACUACACAGCAAAAACACAAUUUUUUUAUUCUCAGAAAAUAUGUAUAAAAUAUUAAGAGCGCACCUACCUAAGUAAACAACAUGUGCAAGUGACGCAAAAAGCUUUACUCAAAAAACCGCGCCUAAGUGAUAUUAAUUCGACCUGCAGCCAAGACCUGACUUCAAUGCAGUCACAAGCGACAUCUCUCAUUGAAUAUUAACGCUAAUUCUUUGCAAUGUCUUGCAUUUUUUAAUUGCAAAGCUCUUUUAUGGGCACACAGAAAAGCUUCAAAUGGAUAACUUUGAAAAUAUUUAAGUAUUUAUAAUCAAACUAGAAUACUCGGUGCAACAUGUUGUUCAGUGGUCUAGAGGUUUUUUCUAUUUUAAUACAAAUAUAUUUGAUAACUUAAUGAGGCUACGAAGAAGCCAAAAAGGAGGAAAUGGAGUCCUAAUCGGUACCAAUAUAAGUAUAAAUUUCAUCACUAAAGACCUAGGGACCUAAACUUAAAUGAAGUUUAGAUUUUGGUUAGACCAUUAACUCCCAUGUGGGUUUUGUUACAAUUCCAUAAAUAAAGGUGUUACAAGAAUUAAUUCGAACAGCUGUUAGAUUUUAUGAGAAGUUUUUUCUUGACAACAAGAGACGCGAAAGUUUGAAACAUUGACAUUGAACUGUCAAAAGAUAACAGCUGUAAGAUAAAUCCGUUUGAAUGAUCUUCGAAAAUUAGAAUCGAACCACGUAACCAUUGUGAGCGAUUUAAAGGAAUAAGAGCAAAGUUUAAAGUAAGUUCUUUGAGUGUCCACAAAACAAGUAGACAAAUGCAUAUAAGUUUAUAUUGGCAUAGAAAGCUGUACAAUAAAAUACUAGUCCUCGUACAAUGUCAGUUAUGGAGUUUCGAUUUCGAAAACUUUGCUACCGCUACUGAUAAUGGAAACACAUAGAAUUAUCUAGGCCAACUGUUUAGCCAUCUAGUGAACGCUCCCCUAAAUAAGAGCUUAUUAAAGUUUUUUGCAAAAAAGCGAGUAUUAUAUUCUACAAGGCCUGCAUUUCGUAAGUUCGGUUCAUCCUUUUAUCACGUAUAUAAAACAUUCAAAUACAGCAGUUUUCACAUUGUGUAUAUGUAAGUAUGUACAGCUGUCCAGAAAAUAAUAGCAGUGCUAAUAUGAAAAAUGUAAUGGCAUUGACACAACUUUUCUGGAUCGCAUGUGAAUGCCGAGGUACAAUUGCGGCUACACAUAAUGGGAUACUGUCAUUAAAAUACGAAACAAAUUUUUAGUGUAAUGAUCGUUAUUCUCGUUUUGCUAGUUUUCGGAAACCCUUAUUUGUUUCUACAAAAACAGGGGUGUUAGACAUUUCCUUUUUAAAAUAAUAUUUAGCCUAAAAAAUAUUCGCAAAAUUAGAAAAGUAAGUAUAGUUCCAGUUAUCAGUUAAUACUGAUACUCUUAGUAGGCGAUUUUCCCAAGAAAGGCGAUUACAAGUCCCGUAUACAAAAAAAAAGCAUGUCUUUUGGCGCGUGGCCAAAUUGCAAAAUAUAUUGUGGUCAUAUGAAUGCAAAAUUGAAUUAUUUUCUAGUAAAAGUUCAGAAGACUUUGUUCGACGUCCCCCUAAACGGUCAAACAUGGUGGCGCUAAAAUCAUAGUAAGGGGGGGUAACUUUUCACAAAGUGGAGUUAGUCCAAUUCUCUUGAUUGCAGUCGUCAUGGAUCAAGUGGCAUAUGUCAAAAUAUUAGACGUGGUAAUGUCUAUAUGACUGAUGGAACAAAUAAUUAUACACAUAGACACUAUUUCCAGGAGUUGACAGUGAAACUCUCGGUUUGUUCACAUGAAAGUCCGUUCUACAAAACCCGAAUAGACGCGUAUUUUUACCCAGCAAAUGACUGCCAACUGGACAAACUUUCUCAAAAUAAUUGGCGAAAUGCUUUCCGCAGCUACAACUUCAACAACAACAUUGAUCCCAUGACAACAGGCUCUUCAUACAAAACUGGAAUAGACCUGGACUUAUAUAUGUAUCUAAAUUUUAACAACAAACACAUGAUGGUGGAAUUUGAGUGAAUCAAAGCUCUAUGUUUUAGCUGUCCACAUAUGUAUGAAUGAAAACAAAUAUAUACAUAUAAUAAAAUAAAGAUCUCUUAUGUA